rnacentral:lncRNA from 1 species
CCCAAUGUGUGUCCACAGGGAUCUGGAUGGGACACCUUCGAGCACUGUGACAGCAAGCAGGGAGGGACGGAGCCACACAUGCCAGGCAUGGCUGCUGGAACUGAGCCAAGAUAUUGGGAUAGCAUGACCUGGAUCAACAAGUCCCCACAGGCUGCAGCCACUUUCUGGCUGUGACCUCCUGUCCGAUGAGAGCAUCUGCAGAACCCUCUGGUCCGGAACAAUUUGUGGGAAUUCCUCUCCUUCACCCUGGAGACCAGGAGCUUUGUGGUGGCCAAGGGCGCCGCCCAGAUCACCCAGAAAUCCAAAUCCAGAAACUGGAAAUCCAAAGGGUACAAGGCUCAUUUGCAUGACCUGGGACAGACCUGUGUGGAAUGGCUCUGGAAUUAUACUGGAUACAGAUGGGAGGCACAAAGACCCUGUCUGUGAAGAGAAGGCCCUCAGGAGAGCCAGAGGAAGCUGAAAGAUGAAGCAUCCUUGCCGUAAGGAAGGGAUGAAAGUGUGGGGCCUGAUGGAACCAAGGGACCACUGUUUGGUCUCAUGGAACCAAAAAUCCAUUGUGACAGUAUGGGACCUUGAGGAACCCAUUGUGCAUUGGGAAGAUGCAGAUCCAAGGAGACUAUGACCUGGCUCCGUGUUUAUGCAAAGCUUUUGUACUAAUCAUGGCAUCAAGGAGAUCAUUGUGACACAGCAGGGCUGUAUGGAACCAAGAGUCCAUUGAGACACUUUGGAACUACGGAGACCAUUGCUGACAGUACAGAACAUCAUGGAACCAAAAAUCCAUUGUGGCAGAUCAAGACCUCAUGGAACCAAAAAGAGCACUGUGACACUGUGGGGCCCCAUGGACCCAAAUCUCCACUGUGACAGUCCGGAACCUCCUGGAACCAAGGGGCCUUUGUGACACUGCAAGGCCUCAGGGAACCAAGAAGUCCAAAGGUCUCAAACAUGCCCUGCAGGGUUCUGCCUUGGAGAUGGGGAACCUCCUUGGUGACACCUUGGGCUGGUACAGACAUGAGGAGUGUGUCUGUUUGGGGAAAGUUAGGAGCUUUAGAUUGAUUCCAAAAACACAGGAAAACCCCUGUUUGCCUGAGUGCACUUGGCCAGUUCUCCAAGCAAAGCACAUCCCAAGUGACUGAGGACAGACAGGAUGGGGUUGGGGAAUGUGGAGCAAGGUUGUCCACACUGGGUUAGACCUCAAGGUACAGCUUCUCUGAGCAGACCAGACCUCCUGAGGAGAGACCCUGCAUCAAUAUCAAUCACAGAAUGCUGCAAUCACCUCUGCUCUAAACAGAAAAAGCAAUAAAAGACAGCCUUCAAAAUAGCAAUAUGUAUUUAUUAGAAGAUCUCGUAAUAUUUCUCCAUAACUGGAUUUGAAAACCUUCCCAUGAACUGCACUGCACCAGAGGGAAAUCAAGGCAGAGCCAUGGUUUGUCAGGACUUGCUUGAUCCCAGUGAGCCCUGUGGUGCAUUUGGUGCUGAGCCCUGGAACCUCAGGGCCUGAAAG